AUGGGCUACAGACCAGUCUACAGGAACGGGCUGGGAGCAGGAACCUUCCCAGGAGAGGGGGCCCAGCCAGGCCUGGGAAGGGGCCUGAGCCCUCCAAAGCCAGGAUACUUGCCAGGGCCCCGGCUGCAGCUCCCAGCAGGAUAUGGCAACGGAAAUGGGUUGAGGGCCCAGUCAGCACCGACUCCGGGCAUCUCCUGGGGACUGAAGCCUCAGAAAGCAGGGUCCCAGCUCCCGAAUGGCUAUGGAGUAGGCUUUGGUGGUGGCCUCAAGCCUCAGAAAGUCGGUUUUGUUUAUGGGAAUGGUCUGGGAGCCGGGGUCUUCCUGCAGCCAGAGUUCCCUGGGGCCAAUGGCCUUAGGAACGGCUACGGGGAGGAAGCACCUGCCUACCCCAAAGCAGCAGUUCCAGGCCCCGAAGGAAAUGGUCAGGCCGGGGCCCUCCGCAGCUCUUCCUGGCCCUCUGUCCAGCCCUGGGGCCUCGCCCCAAAGCCUGGAUAUGGGGCUGGAGCGACCUAUGGACAGCUGAGGCCAGAGCUGGGCCCCGGACCCUUCGGCAGCCCUGAUGCGAAGAGAGGCAGCAGCGGCCUGGGAAACGGCUAUGGAGGUGAGACAGUCAUGGUGGCCCUGCCCGCCCCCCCUCGCCCUCUGCUACCACUGUUGCCCCUCCAGGCUGGCUCCCCAGCCCUUGGAGGGACAGCGGGCUCUCAGGUCGCCUGUGGGUAUCUGUUGAGUGACUUAGAGACCAGAGGAGGAAGAGGGACAGUUUGGGGGCCCUGGGAGACGAGGAGGGGUCCAGACCUCACCAGCGCCCUGCCUCUCCCCAGGCCCCUGACCUCUUGGGAGGCGCUGAGCCCUGAGGCCCUGCUGCUGACCCCUCCUGAGCACCCUGGACGCAGCCUGGGGUGUUGGGCAAGGGCGCCCAGACCCGGGUGCGUGCUUCUGGCCUGGGGUCUCCUGCAGGCUGAAAGUAUUAAUGAAGGCGACGUGCUUCCCUGUUUGGCUGCGUGCUGUGUGCUGCUGCGGGCCGUCACCUCAUUCACCUGUUCCCUAACGGGGCAGCGCUUUGUCACCAUCCAGAGGGGGAGCCACAUCCCAGUUAGGGGACCUGUGCAUUAUUGA
rnacentral:lncRNA from 1 species